rnacentral:piRNA from 1 species
UAGAACCCUGUGGAUCAAAUCUGUG